rnacentral:rRNA from 1 species
GAUGAACGCUGGCGGCGUGCCUAAUACAUGCAAGUCGAGCGAACAGAUGAGAAGCUUGCUUCUCUGAUGUUAGCGGCGGACGGGUGAGUAACACGUGGGUAACCUACCUAUAAGACUGGGAUAACUCCGGGAAACCGGGGCUAAUACCGGAUAAUAUUUUGAACCGCAUGGUUCAAUAGUGAAAGACGGUUUCGGCUGUCACUUAUAGAUGGACCCGCGCCGUAUUAGCUAGUUGGUAAGGUAACGGCUUACCAAGGCGACGAUACGUAGCCGACCUGAGAGGGUGGUCGGCCACACUGGAACUGAGACACGGUCCAGACGCCUACGGGAGGCAGCAGUAGGGAAGCUUCCGCAAUGGGCGAAAGCCUGACGGAGCAACGCCGCGUGAGUGAUGAAGGUCUUCGGAUCGUAAAACUCUGUUGUUAGGGAAGAACAAAUUUGUUAGUAACUGAACAAGUCUUGACGGUACCUAACCAGAAAGCCACGGCUAACUACGUGCCAGCCGCCGCCGUAA